rnacentral:misc_RNA from 1 species
GAAACCCUCGGCCCUCUCUGGCGGUGCAUUCCACGCAUUCAACGUUUCCUUCCCUCGUUCCCUCCGCCGCUCCAUCCUGUCCUCUCCCCCCAUAAAUACACCUCUCCUCCGCCCCUUUUCCGAAUCGCCCGCCGAGCACAGCAAACCACAUCAACAAUGGCCGCAUUCUCCGCCGUCAAGAUCCCCCCUCCUCUUCCCAUCGCCGCCCGUUCCCCCUCCAAGCCCUCCGCCCCCUUCCUCCU